rnacentral:rRNA from 1 species
UACAGAGGUCUCAAGCGUUGUUCGGAUUCAUUGGGCGGAAAGGGUGCGUAGGCGGCGCGGUAAGUCGGGUGUGAAAUCUCGGAGCUUAACUCCGAAACUGCAUUCGAUACUGCCGUGCUUGAGGACUGGAGAGGAGACUGGAAUUUACGGUGUAGCGGUGAAAUGCGUAGAUAUCGUAAGGAAGACCAGUGGCGAAGGCGGGUCUCUGGACAGUUCCUGACGCUGAGGCACUAAGGCCAGGGGAGCAAUCGGG